GAAACACACAGCGCCUCAAACACUAAAUGAUAUUCAUUUACUUAGACAAAAUAAAUAUGAAAAAGAAAAUACUUAGACAAAAAAAAUAUGAAAAAGAAAAUCUGAAUAAAUUAGCUAAGCCAGUGGAGAAAUGGUGAUGAAAUGGACAGUUUGAAAAAAAUUAAAAUAGCAUUUUAGACUAAGGUGUUCUAUUUUCUUUCACCCUUUUUUUUUAACACUGAAAAUUGAUGCUGCAUUAGUAAAGUCUUCAGGGAAAAUUGAUGCUGCAAUAGAGAAGCAUCAUUCAGCCUUAAUUAUAUUGGCAAAAUACAAGUUUAUACAUCUUCAUUAGCUCUGAAAAAAAAAAAAAAAAUCCUGCAAA
rnacentral:misc_RNA from 1 species